CCUACGGGUGGCAGCAGUGGGGAAUAUUGCACAAUGGGGGAAACCCUGAUGCAGCGACGCCGCGUGAGUGAAGAAGUAAUUCGUUAUGUAAAGCUCUAUCAGCAGGGAAGAAAAUGACGGUACCUGAGUAAGAAGCCCCGGCUAACUACGUGCCAGAAGCCGCGGUAAUACGUCGGGGGCAAGAGUUAUCCGGAUUUACUGGGGGUAAAGGGAGCGUAGACGGGAGUGCAAGUCUGGAGUGAAAGGCGGGGGCGCAACCCCCGGACUGCUCUGGAAACUGUACGGCUUGAGUGCAGGAGAGGUAAGUGGAAUUCGUGGUGUAGCGGUGAAAUGCGUAGAUAUUAGGAGGAACACCAGUGGCGAAGGCGGCUUACUGGACUGUAACUGACGUUGAGGCUCGAAAGCGUGGGGAGCAAACAGGAUUAGAUACCCUAGUAGUC
rnacentral:rRNA from 1 species